rnacentral:rRNA from 1 species
GACGUAGGGCGCAAGCGUUGUCCGGAUUUAUUGGGCGUAAAGAGCUCGUAGGCGGCUCGUUGCGUCGGCUGUGAAAACCCGCAGCUUAACUGUGGGCCUGCAGCCGAUACGGGCGGGCUGGAGUUCGGUAGGGGAGACUGGAAUUCCUGGUGUAGCGGUGAAAUGCGUAGAGAUGUGGAGGAACACCAGUGGCGAAGGCGGCUUUCUGGUCUGUAACUGACGCUGAGGCGCGAAAGCGUGGGGAGCAAACAGG